rnacentral:lncRNA from 1 species
UGGUUUCUUGAGGCCAGAUCGUGUAAGAUGGUGCACCACGUCGUGCGGCGGCCUAUUCUGUCAUAGUGUUAUUGUGUAUAGUCUCAUCCAGCACCGAGUAUCAAUAUGUUGUUUUAAUCCUGAUGAUGUUGUAGCAUAAAGUGGUUACUUGUCUGAUGCACAUUAUUCUUUGCAGGGUUAUGAUGAUAUUUCCAAGGAAAUAUACUGACCCUAAUGUGGCUAAGGUGCCCAUUUGCCCUUUGUGAAACAAUUUUACUCUGUUUUGUGUUGUUCCUGUAUGUCCAGUUUCACAUUGCUGGUGUUUCAUGCCAUAUUCAUCAAUCCUGCUCAUAUUGCUGUUGUUUUUUCAGUAGCAAAUAAAUAAAGUAAAUGUACUAUAUCUUGGUAUUCUAGAACUUCAGUGCCUCACAGAAGUUGCUUUAUGUCCUGCUUUAGCUUGCAAACCUGAUGAUUUGUUGUCUGUUCUCAUUUCUUAAGUUUGAAUUGUUUCAAACUCUCAUGUGACCCCAUCCUCAACUAGACCUGUAUGCACCUUAGUAGUAAUAAAUACAUUGGUCAUGUAAAUAUCAUUGGGAACUAUAUCUGCAUCCAUAUGUUUUUGCCAUCAUUAAAUGUUGUAAGUAGAGGUUAGAAAUGCAGAACUGUGAUGUUGUGCUGGGAGCACCCUUACUAUAGUCAUGGGUUAGGUUUCAGCUUCACAUCUUCUCAGGUUUAACUGUUGGUUUACAUUGAAACUGUAGCAAGUGUCAAAUGACUCCAUACUGUGCAAUUUGUCUAGUAAUCUAGGAGCGCAUAAGUAUCAGGCCGUAUGUUUUCUUAUAAGUAAACUAUACUGAUGGUUGUAAGAUGAGUUAAAGUAUACUAGUGCUGUCGUGAUUUUCAUACUAAAUGUCAUUCAUUUAUUAGUUUGAUGUUCUAUAUGCUUCUAAUGCAUGAUCCUUUCAAUGCUAGGUGAUUUGAUUUUCAGAAGUUGGAAGAGGAAGACGACGAAGCAUGAUGUUUUUUUAUCAAUCUGCCUCUUGUUCUG